rnacentral:rRNA from 1 species
GACAGAGGAUGCAAGCGUUAUCCGGAAUGAUUGGGCGUAAAGCGUCUGUAGGUGGUUUAUUAAGUCUACUGUUAAAGAUCAGGGCUUAACCCUGAGCAGGCAAUAGAAACUAAUAAGCUAGAGUACGGUAGGGGCAGAGGGAAUUCCCGGUGUAGCGGUGAAAUGCGUAGAGAUCGGGAAGAACACCAACGGCGAAAGCACUCUGCUGGGCCGAAACUGACACUGAGAGACGAAAGCUAGGGGAGCGAAAGGG